UACGUAGGGUGCGAGCGUUAAUCGGAAUUACUGGGCGUAAAGCGCGCGUAGGUGGUUUGUUAAGUUGGAUGUGAAAGCCCCGGGCUCAACCUGGGAACUGCCUCCAAAACUGGAAAGCUAGAGUAUGGCAGAGGGUGGGGGAAUUUCCUGUGUAGCGGUGAAAUGCGUAGAGAUCGGAAGGAACACCAGUGGCGAAGGCGACAACCUGGGCUAAUACUGACACUGAGGUGCGAAAGCGUGGGGAGCAAACAGGAUUAGAUACCCGUGUAGUCC
rnacentral:rRNA from 1 species